rnacentral:rRNA from 1 species
AGCGAACGCUGGCGGCAGGCUUAACACAUGCAAGUCGAGCGGGCAUCCUUGUGGUGUCAGCGGCAGACGGGUGAGUAACGCGUGGGAACGUGCCCUUCGGUUCGGAAUAACUCCGGGAAACUUGAGCUAAUACCGGAUACGUGCGAGAGCAGAAAGGUUUAUCUGCCGAAGGAUCGGCCCGCGUCUGAUUAGCUAGUUGGUGAGGUUACGGCUCACCAAGGCGACGAUCAGUAGCUGGUCUGAGAGGAUGAUCAGCCACACUGGGACUGAGACACGGCCCAGACUCCUACGGGAAGCAGCAGUGGGGAAUAUUGGACAAUGGGGGCAACCCUGAUCCAGCCAUGCCGCGGGAGUGAUGACGGCCUUAGGGUUGUAAAGCUCUUUUCUCCGGGACGAUAAUGACGGUACCGGAGGAAUAAGCCCCGGCUAACUUCGUG